rnacentral:rRNA from 1 species
AACUCAUGCGGUGGAUCACUCGGCUCAUGGGUCGAUGAAGAACGCAGCAAACUGUGCGUCAUCGUGUGAACAGCAGGACACAUGAACAUCGACAUUUUUACGCAUAUCGCAGUCCAUGCUGU